rnacentral:rRNA from 1 species
AACGAACGCUGGCGGCAGGCCUAACACAUGCAAGUCGAGCGGACCCUUCGGGGUUAGCGGCGGACGGGUGAGUAACGCGUGGGAAUAUGCCCUUCUCUACGGAAUAGUCCUGGGAAACUGGGGGUAAUACCGUAUACGCCCUUUGGGGGAAAGAUUUAUCGGGGAAGGAUUAGCCCGCGUUGGAUUAGGUAGUUGGUGGGGUAAUGGCCUGCCAAGCCGACGAUCCAUAGCUGGUUUGAGAGGAUGAUCAGCCACACUGGGACUGAGACACGGCCCAGACUCCUACGGGAGGCAGCAGUGGGGAAUCGUAGACAAUGGGGGCAACCCUGAUCUAGCCAUGCCGCGUGAGUGAUGAAGGCCUUAGGGUUGUAAAGCUCUUUCAGCUGGGAAGAUAAUGACGGUACCAGCAGAAGAAGCCCCGGCUAACUCCGUG